rnacentral:rRNA from 1 species
AGUGAACGCUGGCGGUAGGCCUAACACAUGCAAGUCGAACGGCAGCACAGUAAGGGCUUGCUCUUACGGGUGGCGAGUGGCGGACGGGUGAGGAAUACAUCGGAAUCUACUUUUUCGUGGGGGAUAACGUAGGGAAACUUACGCUAAUACCGCAUACGACCUACGGGUGAAAGCGGGGGAUCUUCGGACCUUGCGCGAUUGAAUGAGCCGAUGUCGGAUUAGCUAGUUGGCGGGGUAAAGGCCCACCAAGGCGACGAUCCGUAGCUGGUCUGAGAGGAUGAUCAGCCACACUGGAACUGAGACACGGUCCAGACUCCUACGGGAGGCAGCAGUGGGGAAUAUUGGACAAUGGGCGCAAGCCUGAUCCAGCCAUACCGCGUGGGUGAAGAAGGCCUUCGGGUUGUAAAGCCCUUUUGUUGGGAAAGAAAAGCAGCAGGUUAAUACCCCGCUGUUCUGACGGUACCCAAAGAAUAAGCACCGGCUAACUUCGUG